UACGUAGGGUGCAAGCGUUGUCCGGAAUUAUUGGGCGUAAAGAGCUCGUAGGCGGUUUGUCGCGUCGGCUGUGAAAACCUGGGGCUCAACCCCGAGCCUGCAGCCGAUACGGGCAAACUAGAAUUCGGUAGGGGAGACUGGAAUUCCUGGUGUAGCGGUGAAAUGCGCAGAUAUCAGGAGGAACACCGGUGGCGAAGGCGGGUCUCUGGGCCGAUAUUGACGCUGAGGAGCGAAAGCGUGGGGAGCGAACAGG
rnacentral:rRNA from 1 species